rnacentral:lncRNA from 1 species
UGUCCUCACAUGAACUCUGACUAGGGACAACUUUAGCAUAACCAUACAAGUAAAGAGUUUCACAUACAAUUCACGUAAUUGCAAAUCAAUUCAAGUAGCCUUUAAUGGAUAUUCAAGGAACACAAUAUAAAUCAUGGAUACAAAUGGAAUAUCAUCAUAUCUAAUAUUGCCUCUAGGGCAUACCUCCAACAAUCUCCCACUUGCACUAGAUUCAACCUAGAAGAUAU